rnacentral:rRNA from 1 species
AGGAGAGAGAAAGCGGAAUACUUAGCGUAGCGGUGAAUGCGUAGAUAUUUACGUAGAUCACCCAGUGGCGAAGGGCGGCCUUCUUGGAACUGUAACUGACGCUGAUGCACGAAAGCGUGGGGGAGCAAACAGGAUUUAGAUACCUGGUAGUCCACCGCCCCUCAACUAUGAUCGCUGGUGUUCGGGGUAACAAUUCCCUCAGUGCCGUAGCUAACGCGUUAAGCGAUCCGCCUGGGAAGUACGGCCGCAAGGCUAAAACUC